GCUGGUGUGGCGGAACUGGCAGACGCCCAGGACUUAAAAUCCUGUGAGGUUAACUCCUCGUACCGGUUCGAUUCCGGUCACCAGCACCA
rnacentral:tRNA from 1 species